CACUCCUACGGGAGGCAGCAGUGGGGAAUUUUGGACAAUGGGCGAAAGCCUGAUCCAGCAAUGCCGCGUGCAGGAUGAAGGCCUUCGGGUUGUAAACUGCUUUUGUACGGAACGAAAAAGCUCCUUCUAAUACAGGGGGCCCAUGACGGUACCGUAAGAAUAAGCACCGGCUAACUACGUGCCAGCAGCCGCGGUAAUACGUAGGGUGCGAGCGUUAAUCGGAAUUACUGGGCGUAAAGCGUGCGCAGGCGGUUAUGUAAGACAGAUGUGAAAUCCCCGGGCUCAACCUGGGAACUGCAUUUGUGACUGCAUGGCUAGAGUACGGUAGAGGGGGAUGGAAUUCCGCGUGUAGCAGUGAAAUGCGUAGAUAUGCGGAGGAACACCGAUGGCGAAGGCAAUCCCCUGGACCUGUACUGACGCUCAUGCACGAAAGCGUGGGGAGCAAACAGGAUUAGAAACCCCAGUAGUCCCAUG
rnacentral:rRNA from 1 species